AACGAACGCUGGCGGCAUGCCUACACAUGCAAGUCGAACGAGACCUUCGGGUCUAGUGGCGCACGGGUGCGUAACGCGUGGGAACCUGCCCUUAGGUUCGGAAUAACUCCCCGAAAGGGGUGCUAAUACCGGAUAAUGUCUUCGGACCAAAGAUUUAUCGCCUUUGGAUGGGCCCGCGUUGGAUUAGCUAGUUGGUAGGGUAAAAGCCUACCAAGGCGACGAUCCAUAGCUGGUCUGAGAGGAUGAUCAGCCACACUGGGACUGAGACACGGCCCAGACUCCUACGGGAGGCAGCAGUGGGGAAUAUUGGACAAUGGGCGAAAGCCUGAUCCAGCAAUGCCGCGUGAGUGAUGAAGGCCUUAGGGUUGUAAAGCUCUUUUACCCGGGAUGAUAAUGACAGUACCGGGAGAAUAAGCUCCGGCUAACUCCGUG
rnacentral:rRNA from 1 species